AGUUCAAAAAUUAUGAAUAUAGUGUUCAAAAAUUGUGAACAUAGAGUUCUAAAAUUGUGAACAUGAACCUGGGUCCACCUUGCAAGGUGGACCCAAGUUCAUGGCAUAACAACUAGAAAACUAUGCAAUUAAGGCUGGCAAGUGUUGGGGGUGGAAAUUGUUAGGGGCGUUCGCUAUGACCAAUGAAGGGCCAAACCAAGCACUAGGUGGCUGGAGGGGUUGUUGGGUCUUAUCUUCACUACGAGAUUGGGUAUUCUCAACCUACAUCAAGGGCCAUGAGGCCAUCUCUUGAUGAACAAGAGCUAUACAUAAUCUAAGAGAUUUUAGGCCUAGCUAUUUUCUUAUUCAUUAAACUACAUGAUGAUUCAAGUGUAACAGCUGACAUAAUUACCUACCUGCAUGUCAAAGACUUGAUUAGCCUGAGAAUACUCUUCCACUUUUCUGACCAAUUUUAUUGCAUUUCUCCUGAAAACUGUGCAGCUGAAAUCUCUAAGCACCCUUGUUGAGAAUUCAAAACUAGCAACCUUCCUCUGCUGUCUCCACUUGUCACCAUCCACAGCAAAAAUCCCUGUGCCAAACAAGUCCCUAAAAACAUCCUGGUUGCACUCGCCUUUAGCGUACUUGUCGAAGUUGGUCUUAAGUACAUGCUCAAUGUUUUGCAAAUCGGUUGUAUAUAUCUGACUCUGGCCCGGCGCAAGAAGCCUGAAAGUGGAGUGCUUUCUAGCAGCCUCAGUUUGAUGGUCAUAAAGCCUGUUGAAGUAUAAGAGUUGAUGAAACACAGUCCCAAGAACUGGUGGGUAUUUUGGGUUGUUGAUUGACUUUCCACUGUAAAUUUUUAUCAGGAAAGCUAUGAUUGGAAUGAGCAAAAGUAAUAAAGGGAGACCUACAAAGGCUAAAACGUUCAUCAUUUUUUGUUUUUCCCCCCACAACUCUUUAGACAGGAAAGUGAUGAUGAAGAGUGAUCGAUCUUUUGUAAUUUUUUUGGUGAUCGAUCUUUUGUAAUUGCCAACCGCACAAUAUUGCGUCUAGGAAGAUGAAGUUAAUAAUGGUUUUUCCGUUUGUCAA